GCCAGCAUGGCAGAGCAGUUUGAGUGUUAGACUACAACUCUGGAGACCAGGGUUCGAUUCCCAGUUCAGCA